ACGAAUAAAAUUUAUCUUGUCUGUUAACCUACGUACACAGUAAUGUUUACAUACAUAUACUAGCAGCUAGGCUUUUAGAUCAAGUAAACUAAUAAUCAUUAGUUUUCGUCAUUGCUUUGAUGAAUUUUCUUGUUUUGUUUUACAUUUUGUAAGUAUAUUGUCAUUGAUAAGAAUAGUUGUAUUAAUAUCAAUUGGAAUAAUGAAGAAAAGAAAGCAAUAAUCAGUUUUCCAAACGAAAUACGAUUUUUAUUAAAUUAUCAGUGAUAUAGGGCUAUGCGGUUGAAAUUUAAACGCUCCGUAUUGACUUCCACUACGGCCGACCAGUGGCUCGCAGCCGAUGUUCGUAUCGCGAAGAAAAUUAUGAGAAAACUAGUGUGAACUGAAGUUUUAAUAAUUUUCAAGUGUAGGUCUCGUUGAAAACAAAUUAUUUGUGUACUUUACCAAAAAUAAUGCACAAUUGGAAAGCGAGAAGAGAGAAGACAAGGCUGUAGCCUCCUGCACUAUGGACGGGUAGCGGGGAUAAAUAAAUUUCGACCGGCCAGCUCUAUGUUAUCAGUGUUAUCACCAGAGGGCGGCGACCUUGGAGUUAAGAACUGUGCGGACCACCACAUGUAUGCACAUGACCAGCACGGCACGGUCUCGAUCAAUUCGUCGGCCGACUACACUGCAUUUGGAUUGCAGUCUUAUCGCUUGUUUUUCAGGUGCAAUACGCACCUGUACAUAGGCGUCGAGUACUCCUUGCACAUCAAGCGCUUGGAAGUGGCGCAAUCGCGCAGUAUUCAUUUGUAAAAUAGCAAAUUUGUAACCAAAAUGUGUUUAACAUUUUAGUUUCUUAUAUAUAUUUGUGUGGAGGUUUUUCAGUAUACUUUUCAUUUUUA